UACGUAGGGCGCAAGCGUUGUCCGGAAUUAUUGGGCGUAAAGAGCUCGUAGGCGGUUUGUCGCGUCGGCUGUGAAAUCCCGAGGCUCAACCUCGGGUCUGCAGUCGAUACGGGCAAACUGGAGUGUUGCAGGGGAGACUGGAAUUCCUGGUGGUAGCGGUGAAAAUGCGCAGAUAUCUGGAGGAACACCGGUGGCGAAGGCGGCGAUC
rnacentral:rRNA from 1 species